rnacentral:misc_RNA from 1 species
GAUGAAGAACGUAGUGAAUUGCGAUAAGUAAUGUGAAUUGCAGAUUUUCAGUGAAUCAUCGAAUCUUUGAACGCACCUUGCGCUCCUUGGUAUUCCGAGGAGCAUGCCUGUUUGAGUGUCAUCGAAUUCUCAACCAUGUCUUGAUUGAUUUUCAAGGCCCAUGGCUUGGAGGUUGGGGGUUGCUGGCGGCGACAAGCUGUCGGCUCUCCUGAAAUGCAUUAGCGAAGGGCAGCAAGUCUUCGACGUGCACGGCCUUCGACGUGAUAAUGAUCGUCGUGGCUGGAGCGUUGGACAUGCAUGAAUGGUCCUGUGCUUCUAAUCUCUCCCCCCCCCCCUCACGCCUUAUGGCGUGUGUUUCGAAACUUGACCUCAAAUCAGGUAGGACUACCCGCUGAACUUAAGCAUAUCAAUAAGCGGAGGA